rnacentral:rRNA from 1 species
CAGCAGCAGCCGCGGUAAUACGAGGGGGGCAAGCGUUGUUCGGAAUUAUUGGGCGUAAAGCGUGCGUAGGCGGUUCGUUAAGUCUGUUGUGAAAGCCCCGGGCUCAACCUGGGAAUGGCAAUGGAUACUGGCGAGCUAGAGUGUGUCAGAGGAUGGUGGAAUUCCCGGUGUAGCGGUGAAAUGCGUAGAGAUCGGGAGGAACAUCAGUGGCGAAGGCGGCCAUCUGGGACAACACUGACGCUGAGGCACGAAAGCGUGGGGAGCAAACAGGAUUAGAUACCCCUGUAGUCCCUGUCUCUUAUAC